rnacentral:tRNA from 1 species
GUCUUCGUGGCUCAGUUGGUUAGAGCGUCAGUCUCAUAAUCUGAAGGUCGUGAGUUCGAGCCUCACCGAGGACA